AGCAGCCGCGGUAAUUCCAGCUCCAAUAGCGUAUAUUAAAGUUGUUGCAGUUAAAAAGCUCGUAGUUGAACUUCAGGCCUGUCCAGAUGGUCCGCCUUAAUUGGUGUGUACUGUCCUUGGGUGGGUCCUACCUUCUGGCGAAGCGGCAUGGCCUUAAUUGGUUGUGUUGGGGAACCAGGACUUUUACUGUGAAAAAAUUAGAGUGUUCAAAGCAGGCAUAUAUGCUCGAAUACAUUAGCAUGGAAUAAUGGAAUAGGACGAUGGUUCUAUUUUGUUGGUUCUAGGACCGUUGUAAUGAUUAAUAGGGAUAGUUGGGGGCAUUAGUAUUCAAUUGUCAGAGGUGAAAUUCUUGGAUUUAUUGAAGACUAACUACUGCGAAAGCAUUUGCCAAGGAUGUUUUCAUUAAUCAAGAACGAAAGUUAGGGGAUCGAAGACGAUCAGAUACCGUCGUAGUCUUAACCAUAAACUAUGCCGACUAGGAAUCGGGCGAUGUUGACAAAAUGACUCGCUCGGCACCUCAUG
rnacentral:rRNA from 1 species